rnacentral:rRNA from 1 species
AUUGAACGCUGGCGGCAUGCUUUACACAUGCAAGUCGAACGGUAACAGCACUUCGGUGGCUGACGAGUGGCGAACGGGUGGGUAAUACAUCGGAACGUGCCUAGUAGUUGGGGAUAACUACUCGUAAGAGUAGCUAAUACCGCAUGAGAUCUAAGGAUGAGAGCCAGGGACCUUCGGGCCUUGCGCUACUAGAGCGGCUGAUGGCAGAUUAGGUAGAUGGUGGGAUAAAAGCUUACCAAGCCGACGAGCUGUAGCUGGUCUGAGAGGACGACCAGCCACACUGGGACUGAGACACGGACCAGACUACUACGGGACGCAGCAGUGGGGAAUUUUGGACAAUGGGCGGAAGCCUGGUCCAGCAAUGCCGCGUGCAGGAUGAAGGCCUUCGGGUUGUAAACUGCUUUUGUACGGAACGAAAAGCCCUCUUCUAAUACAGGAGGGUCAUGACGGUACCGGAAGAAUAAGCACCGGCUAACUACGUG